GGGUUUGAAUACAUAUUUUAGCUUGCAGGAGGAUGAUCUGAAUGCAGGAAAGCUGCCGUGUUCCUUCUCUCAGUCAAGACCAAAGGUUUCUUCGACUCCAAACCACAGCCACGUCUCCAUCAUACAGACCAUCCUUUGCAACUUCAGCUUGUGUCAAACAUCCCCUUUGGCAAAACAGCUCUUGCAAUGGAGCUAUCUCCACGUGUCUGCCUUCCACCACCCACGAGACACUGACCUCCAUCGGUCCCCAGCCCUGAGCCCCGCACUGAUGAGUGCAGAGAUGCUAUGGUAUGAAGCGCAGAUAUCUAGCACCAAGAUUGGACAUCUUUCUUGCCUGCUCUUCCAAAUGUGCUUUCCUGGGGUCCAGGAGUCAGGAUUGACAACUUAUGGAAAGUGUAAAUCUCCCUCUGGUGUUCUAUGUACAGCUUCCUCACUGUGGGAAUCAACCAAGGAUUGACAUUGACCAUCCUCCUCAUUGUGGAAGUCAACCAAGAAUUUACACUGGCCAUCAUCCCCACUGUGGGAGUCAACCAAGGAUUGACAAUGACCAUCUUCCUCACUGUGGGAAUCAACCGAGGGUUGACACUGGACAUCCUCCUCACCAUCGGAAUCAAUCAAGGAUUAAUAUUGGCCAUCAUCUUCAUCAUGGGAGUCAAUUAAGGACUGACACUGACCAUCCUCCUCACCAUGGGAAUCAACGAAGGAUUGACAUUGGCCAUCCCACAGGAAGAGUCCUUGAUGAAAUCUCAUCACUCAGUGCCCCUUGGUACGAGUGUGGGCUGGAGCAGAGCUGGCAGAGGCCAGGAGGGGACUGGAGCUGCUAAGAAGCAAGCAAUUGCAUGGAUGAGGUGCUGGGCAAACCCAUGGGUUCCCAUGGUCUUCAGUGGAGCCCAUUGGAGCAGUCUGGGCUGUAGCAGAAGGACCUAUUCCCAUUCUCUGCUGCACUGCAAAGAUCGAGCUGGCAUGGUUUAUCUCAGUGCAGAAACAGCUGGCAGAUAGACAUGGACCCAACUGUUUAGAUGGGAAUGCCUUGCUGUCAGGUCGUGUUACUGGUUCAAACAGAAAGGCACUGCGCAGCCAGAGCCAGGCAUAUAUAACUGACAAAAAAAAAGAAGGUGAAAGCUGCUCUGGGCUCAUCAAUAACCUUCCGCACAUCCUUGCCUGUGCUCUGAGUUGAGAAAACACAGCAAUGAUCAGCACUCGGGUCAGGAUUUCGUGAGCUGUCCAAGGAGAAUUUACUCUAGCUCCUUCCUGACAGGAGACAGAGGUAUAAAAAACAAUGCAGUGACUUCUGUUCAAGCAAUAGCUGUGUAAAAUAUUGUUCAUCAGAGCUGUAAAGGUUAGCUCAGCAGAGAAAUAAGGUCUGCAGCUUUUGGCUUUGUAUCCCUUUGGGCAAUCCAUUUGUGAGUUUGUUGAAGGCAAGGAGAAAGAUCCAGUGAUUGGAAAGGGGCUGCACUCACCCCGGCUCAGUCUCUGAAUUAAGCAUCUUCUAUUUUUCCAUUGGCUUUGGAGUGCUUCCAGUCAAUACAGGUUU
rnacentral:lncRNA from 7 species